CUGCUUAACACAAGUUGAGUAGGGAAAGUUUUUCGGUGUAGGAUGAGACUAUAUAGUAUCAGCUAGUUGGUGAGGUAAUAGCUCACCAAGGCUAUGACGCUUAACUGGUCUGAGAGGAUGAUCAGUCACACUGGAACUGAGACACGGUCCAGACUCCUACGGGAGGCAGCAGUAGGGAAUAUUGCGCAAUGGGGGAAACCCUGACGCAGCAACGCCGCGUGGAGGACGACACUUUUCGGAGCGUAAACUCCUUUUCUUAGGGAAGAAUUCUGACGGUACCUAAGGAA
rnacentral:rRNA from 1 species